GACAACUGCUAUCUCUUGAGGGAAAUACAAGCACGGCCUCGGCCAGCACCUCCACCGCGGCGAUGGAGCAAGAGGAGCCCGAGGAGCCCGAGAAAUAAUUGGAAAAAUUAACAGAGGUCCCCUUCCCCCAAGACAGGAGGAGGAAAUGGACAUGUUUUAAAAUUAAUAAAUAUUUUUUAAAAGUGUUUGCAUUGUUAGUUGUGUAUAUUGCAAUUGAAUUGCUUGAAAGAAAAAAAAACUGGUAUCUAUAGUUCCAGAACUCUGGAGACUGAGCAAUGUAUUGAUUAAUUAAAAAAAAUUCUGCUUUGAGGUGAUGACUCAUAUUUCCAAGCACAUUGGAAAAAAAAGUUUUCAAUAUAUUCAAGAAAGUAACAUUAAAGUUUGCGUU